GGGUUGUGAGGUUAAGCGACUAAGCGUACACGGUGGAUGCCCUGGCAGUCAGAGGCGAUGAAGGACGUGCUAAUCUGCGAAAAGCGCCGGCGAGGUGAUAUGAACCUUUGACCCGGCGAUGUCCGAAUGGGGAAACCCAGUGUGUUUCGACACACUAUCGUUAACUGAAUACAUAGGUUAACGAGGCGAACCGGGGGAACUGAAACAUCUAAGUACCCCGAGGAAAAGAAAUCAACCGAGAUUCCCCCAGUAGCGGCGAGCGAACGGGGAGCAGCCCAGAGUCUGAAUCAGCUUGUGUGUUAGUGGAACGGUCUGGAAAGUCCGGCGAUACAGGGUGACAGCCCCGUACACGAAAAUGCACAGGCUGUGAACUCGAAGAGUAGGGCGGGACACGUGGUAUCCUGUCUGAAUAUGGGGGGACCAUCCUCCAAGGCUAAAUACUCCUGACUGACCGAUAGUGAACCAGUACCGUGAGGGAAAGGCGAAAAGAACCCCGGCGAGGGGAGUGAAAAAGAACCUGAAACCGUGUACGUACAAGCAGUGGGAGCACCUUCGUGGUGUGACUGCGUACCUUUUGUAUAAUGGGUCAGCGACUUAUAUUCUGUAGCAAGGUUAACCGUAUAGGGGAGCCGAAGGGAAACCGAGUCUUAACUGGGCGUUAAGUUGCAGGGUAUAGACCCGAAACCCGGUGAUCUAGCCAUGGGCAGGUUGAAGGUUGGGUAACACUAACUGGAGGACCGAACCGACUAAUGUUGAAAAAUUAGCGGAUGACUUGUGGCUGGGGGUGAAAGGCCAAUCAAACCGGGAGAUAGCUGGUUCUCCCCGAAAGCUAUUUAGGUAGCGCCUCGUGAACUCAUCUUCGGGGGUAGAGCACUGUUUCGGCUAGGGGGCCAUCCCGGCUUACCAACCCGAUGCAAACUACGAAUACCGAAGAAUGUUAUCACGGGAGACACACGGCGGGUGCUAACGUCCGUCGUGAAGAGGGAAACAACCCAGACCGCCAGCUAAGGUCCCAAAGUCAUGGUUAAGUGGGAAACGAUGUGGGAAGGCACAGACAGCCAGGAUGUUGGCUUAGAAGCAGCCAUCAUUUAAAGAAAGCGUAAUAGCUCACUGGUCGAGUCGGCCUGCGCGGAAGAUGUAACGGGGCUAAACCAUGCACCGAAGCUGCGGCAGCGACACUAUGUGUUGUUGGGUAGGGGAGCGUUCUGUAAGCCGUUGAAGGUGUGCUGUGAGGCAUGCUGGAGGUAUCAGAAGUGCGAAUGCUGACAUAAGUAACGAUAAAGCGGGUGAAAAGCCCGCUCGCCGGAAGACCAAGGGUUCCUGUCCAACGUUAAUCGGGGCAGGGUGAGUCGACCCCUAAGGCGAGGCCGAAAGGCGUAGUCGAUGGGAAACAGGUUAAUAUUCCUGUACUUGGUGUUACUGCGAAGGGGGGACGGAGAAGGCUAUGUUAGCCGGGCGACGGUUGUCCCGGUUUAAGCAUGUAGGCGGAGGUUCCAGGUAAAUCCGGUACCUUAUUAACGCUGAGGUGUGAUGACGAGGCACUACGGUGCUGAAGUAACAAAUGCCCUGCUUCCAGGAAAAGCCUCUAAGCAUCAGGUAACAUUAAAUCGUACCCCAAACCGACACAGGUGGUCAGGUAGAGAAUACCAAGGCGCUUGAGAGAACUCGGGUGAAGGAACUAGGCAAAAUGGUGCCGUAACUUCGGGAGAAGGCACGCUGAUAUGUAGGUGAAGCCCCUGCGGGUGGAGCUGAAAUCAGUCGAAGAUACCAGCUGGCUGCAACUGUUUAUUAAAAACACAGCACUGUGCAAACACGAAAGUGGACGUAUACGGUGUGACGCCUGCCCGGUGCCGGAAGGUUAAUUGAUGGGGUUAGCGGUAACGCGAAGCUCUUGAUCGAAGCCCCGGUAAACGGCGGCCGUAACUAUAACGGUCCUAAGGUAGCGAAAUUCCUUGUCGGGUAAGUUCCGACCUGCACGAAUGGCGUAAUGAUGGCCAGGCUGUCUCCACCCGAGACUCAGUGAAAUUGAACUCGCUGUGAAGAUGCAGUGUACCCGCGGCAAGACGGAAAGACCCCGUGAACCUUUACUAUAGCUUGACACUGAACACUGGUCCUUGAUGUGUAGGAUAGGUGGGAGGCUUUGAAGCGUGGACGCCAGUCUGCGUGGAGCCGUCCUUGAAAUACCACCCUUUAAUGGCUGGUGUUCUAACGUAGACCCGUGAUCCGGGUUGCGGACAGUGUCUGGUGGGUAGUUUGACUGGGGCGGUCUCCUCCCAAAGAGUAACGGAGGAGCACGAAGGUUAGCUAAUCCUGGUCGGACAUCAGGAGGUUAGUGCAAUGGCAUAAGCUAGCUUGACUGCGAGAGUGACGGCUCGAGCAGGUGCGAAAGCAGGUCAUAGUGAUCCGGUGGUUCUGAAUGGAAGGGCCAUCGCUCAACGGAUAAAAGGUACUCCGGGGAUAACAGGCUGAUACCGCCCAAGAGUUCAUAUCGACGGCGGUGUUUGGCACCUCGAUGUCGGCUCAUCACAUCCUGGGGCUGAAGUAGGUCCCAAGGGUAUGGCUGUUCGCCAUUUAAAGUGGUACGCGAGCUGGGUUUAGAACGUCGUGAGACAGUUCGGUCCCUAUCUGCCGUGGGCGCUGGAGAAUUGAGGGGGGCUGCUCCUAGUACGAGAGGACCGGAGUGGACGCAUCACUGGUGUUCGGGUUGUCAUGCCAAUGGCACUGCCCGGUAGCUAAAUGCGGAAAAGAUAAGUGCUGAAAGCAUCUAAGCACGAAACUUGCCCCGAGAUGAGUUCUCCCUGAGACUUUAAGUCUCCUGAAGGAACGUUGAAGACGACGACGUUGAUAGGUCGGGUGUGUAAGCGCAGCGAUGCGUUGAGCUAACCGAUACUAAUGAACCGUGAGGCUUAACCUUACAACGCCGAAGGUGUUU
rnacentral:rRNA from 1 species